AGUCAAUAGAUACCCCGGUAGUCCACGCCGUAAACGAUGAGUACUAGGUGUAGGAGGUAUCGACUCCUUCUGUGCCGCAGUUAAACACAAUAAGUACUCCGCCUGGGAAGUACGGUCGCAAGAUUAAAACUCAAAGGGAUUGACGGGGGCCCGCACAAGCAGCGGAGCAUGUGGUUUAAUUCGAAGCAACGCGAAGAACCUUACCUAGACUUGACAUCUCCUGAAUAGCGUAGAGAUACGUGAAGCCCUUCGGGGCAGGAAGACAGGUGGUGCAUGGUUGUCGUCAGCUCGUGUCGUGAGAUGUUGGGUUAAGUCCCGCAACGAGCGCAACCCUUAUCAUUAGUUGCUACCAUUAAGUUGAGCACUCUAGUGAGACUGCCCGGGUUAACCGGGAGGAAGGCGGGGAUGACGUCAAAUCAUCAUGCCCCUUAUGUCUAGGGCUACACACGUGCUACAAUGGUGAGAACAACGAGAUGCAAUACCGCGAGGUGGAGCCAAACUUGAAAACUCAUCCCAGUUCGGAUUGCAGGCU
rnacentral:rRNA from 1 species